rfam:Clostridium sp.CAG:217_53_7 isolate CAG:217_53_7 Ley3_66761_scaffold_7093, whole genome shotgun sequence.
AAUACUAUCGCUGUUCAGCCAAAGACAGCAGGUGCCGUUUGGCGUAAGUUGAUCGCCUGCCGAGGAAUGAAUGUGCAUGGUUCGCACCCUGCGGUGCAAUAUCUAUGUCAUUUUGUGCAUUCCGAGGUACAUCGGAAUGCACUUUUUGUUUUGCUAA